GAUGAACGCUGGCGGCGUGCCUAAUACAUGCAAGUCGAGCGAACGGACGCGAAGCUUGCUUUUCUGAUGUUAGCGGAGGACGGGAGAGUAACACGUGGAUAACCUACCUAUAAGACUGGGAUAACUUCGGGAAACCGGCGCUAAUAGCGGAGAAUAUUUUGAACCGCGUGGUUCAAAAGUGAAAGACGGUCUUGCUGUCUCUUCUAGCUGGAUCCGCGCUGCAUUAGCUAGUUGGUAAGGUAAAGGCUUACCAAGGCAACGAUGCAUAACCGACCUGAGAGGGUGAUCGGCCGCACUGGAGCGGGGACACGGUCCUGACUCCUACGGGAGGCAGCAGUAGGGAAUCUUCCGCAAUGGGCGAAAGCCUGACGGAGCAACGCCGCGUGAGUGAUGAAGGUCUUCGGAUCGUAAAACUCUGUUAUUAGGGAAGAACAUAUGUGUAAGUAACUGUGCACAUCUUGACGGUACCUAAUCAGAAAGCCACGGCUAACUACGUG
rnacentral:rRNA from 1 species